rnacentral:rRNA from 1 species
GGUAUCCUACGGGACGCAGCAGUGGGGAAUAUUGGGCAAUAGGCGCAAGCCUGACCCAGCAACGCCGCGUGAAGGAAGAAGGCUUUCGGGUUGUAAACUUCUUUUCUGAGGGACGAUAGUGACGGUACCUCAGGAAUAAGCCACGGCUAACUACGUGCCAGCAGCCGCGGUAAUACGUAGGUGGCAAGCGUUAUCCGGAUUUACUGGGCGUAAAGGGCGUGUAGGCGGGAUGGUAAGUCAGAUGUGACAACUAUGGGCUCAACCCAUAGCCUGCAUUUGAAA